rnacentral:rRNA from 2 species
AAUGAUUUCUUCGGAAUGAACUUAAGUGGAUUAGUGGCGGACGGGUGAGUAACGCGUGAGUAACCUGCCUUACACAAGGGGAUAGCCGUUGGAAACGACGAAUAAUACCCUAUGAAACUAUCACUUCGCAUGAAGCGAUAGUCAAAGUGUUAGCGGUGUAAGAUGGACUUGCGUCUGAUUAGCUAGUUGGUGAGAAAAAAGCCCACCAAGGCAACGAUCAGUAGCCGGCUUGAGAGAGUGUACGGCCACAUUGGGACUGAGACACGGCCCAGACUCCUACGGGAGGCAGCAGUGGGGAAUUUUGCACAAUGGGGGAAACCCUGAUGCAGCGACGCCGCGUGAUUUAGAAGGCCUUCGGGUUGUAAAAAUCUUUUGUAUAGGAAGAAAAUGACAGUACUAUACGAAUAAGGUCCGGCUAAUUACGUGCCAGCAGCCGCGGUAAUACGUAAGGACCGAGCGUUGUCCGGAAUCAUUGGGCGUAAAGGGUACGUAGGCGGGUCAUUAAGUUAGAAGUCAAAGGCUAUAGCUCAACUAUAGUAAGCUUCUAAAACUGGAGACCUUGAGUAAUGGAAGGGAAAGUGGAAUUCCUAGUGUAGCGGUGGAAUGCGCAGAUAUUAGGAGGAAUACCGGUGGCGAAGGCGACUUUCUGGCCAUUA